AGAAGUGCCCCAAUCGUCGACCGGCCACUCUCCAUUUGAACUCCUCUAUGGGAGACGACCCCGGGGGCUGCUGGACAAAGCGAAGGAAGCCGGGGAAAAGCAACCGUCGCCCCAUCGAACCAUGGUGGAACACGUGGGAGACAUGAGGGACCGGAUGGCCACCCUGUGGCCCCUGGUGCGGGAACACAUGCAGGAGGCCCAGGUUGCCCAAGCACGGGUCUACAACAGAGGGGCCCAACAGCGAGACUUCCAGCCCGGAGAUAAAGUGCUGGUACUUGUCCCCACAACAGAGUGUACGUUUCUGGCCCGUUGGAACGGGCCAUACGAAGUACUUGAAAAGGUAGGGGAGGUGAAUUAUAGAGUCCGACAGCCGGGACGUAGGAGCCCGACUCAAAUUUACCAUGUGAACCUGUUAAAGAAAUGGAAUGCCCGGGAUGUACUCUGCUCUAUUCCUCCAAAGGCUACCAGUGAAACCGGGCCGGCCAAGGUGCCCCUAGGGGAACAGCUGAGCCCAUCACAGAGGCAGGAGCUCAUGGAGUUGGUCGACCAGAACCAGGAUGUGUUCUCCAGUGAACCGGGCCACACCAAUCUGGUACAGCACCACAUCAUCACUGAGCCCGGGAAAAAGGUGAAAUUGAGACCCUACUGCAUACCGGAGGCCAGGAGAGAGGCCGUCAGGACCGAGGUACCCUUAGCUCCCGAGGCGCGGGAGAAAACCGCUUUUGCCACUCCUGACGGGCUGUUCCACUACAGGAAGCUACCCUUCGGAUUGCAUGGGGCCCCGCCCACCUUCCAGAGGUUGAUAGAUCGGGUACUCCGUCCCCAUCGGGGGUACGCGGCGGCCUAUAUUGACGAUAUAGUCAUCCAUGGGAGUGAGUGGGACACUCAUGUGAAGCAUGUUAGCGCAGUGUUGCAGGCUUUACGGGAGGCGGGGCUAACGGCUAACCCAAAGAAGUGCCAGCUCGGUCUGCAGGAGGCGGAGUACCUGCACUACACCAUUGGCGAGGGGAUGUGUGAAAUCCCAGAUGAAGAAGGUGGAGGCGAUACAGGACUGGCCACGGCCCCUGACCAAGAAACAGGUACGCACGUUUGUGGGGCUUACCAGCUACUACCGGAGGUUUAAUCCCCACUUUGCAUCAAUAGCCAGCC
ensembl:lncRNA